AGAGUUUGAUCCUGGCUCAGAACGAACGCUGGCGGCGCGCCUAAUACAUGCAAGUCGAACGAGAAUGUGUAGCAAUACACAUGUACAGUGGCGAACGGGUGAGGAAUACAUGGGUAACCUACCCUCGAGUGGGGAAUAACUAGCCGAAAGGUUAGCUAAUACCGCGUACGCUUCCCGGACUGCGGUUCGGGAAGGAAAGCGAUACCGUGGGUAUCGCGCUCUUGGAUGGGCUCAUGCCCUAUCAGCUUGUUGGUGAGGUAACGGCUCACCAAGGCUUCGACGGGUAGCUGAUCUGAGAGGAUGAUCAGCCACACUGGCACUGCGACACGGGCCAGACUCCUACGGGAGGCAGCAGUAAGGAAUAUUGCGCAAUGGGCGAAAGCCUGACGCAGCGACGCCGCGUGGGGGAUGAAGGUCUUCGGAUUGUAAACCCCUUUCGGGAGGGAAGAUGGGAUGGGGUAACCCAUUCGGACGGUACCUCCAGAAGCAGCCACGGCUAACUUCGUGCCAGCAGCCGCGGUAAUAC
rnacentral:rRNA from 1 species